GCGCUCAUAGCUCAGUCGGAUAGAGUAUUGGUUUCCGGAACCAAAGGUCAGAGGUUCGAUCCCUCUUGAGCGCACCA
rnacentral:tRNA from 1 species